UGGUGCAUCAUCAUCAUCUCUGUGUUUCUGCUGUAUAUCACAGGUUCUUUCUCGGUUCCUGUGACAUAAAAAGUUGAUGGUUUUGUUGGAGACUCGGCUAUCUUGUCUUGUUCGAUCCCUAAAAGUGAGAUUCAAGACAAAAUAGAAAAAUUAUACGUAAACUGGAGAGACAAUGAAGGCAAGACAGUGUGUGACAUCAUUGGAGGCAGCAUAGUUGAAGACCAAGAGCCAGAGUACAAGGUCUUAGUCGAAACGUUCCCAGAGGAGUAUAAGAAGGGCAACUUCUCCAUCAAACUCAACGGUCUUCAAAAAACUGAUGCAAGGAAGUACAUCUGUCACAUCACAGGACCAUCUCAGAAUCACACCAUCACAGAGCUUCAUGUUGAAGAGGGACCAGGAGGAAGAGGCAAGCACAGAGGACUAAAGACUGAUGGAGAACUACAAUCAAUUGUCUUGUUUUUAUUCAGAUUUUUCUUAGCUGGCAUACUGGUUUUUAUGUCUGUAGCAAUCGCUUUUUGUGCAGCAAGGAUUGUGUUCAGUUAAUAGGGUAGAAUGAAA